AGGGGUGUAGUUCAGUUGGUAGAACGACGGUCUCCAAAACCGUAUGCCGUGGGUUCAAGUCCUGCCACCCCUGCCA
rnacentral:tRNA from 2 species